UUCUAGACUCAUUUUGUGAAUGGUUCUAACAUUACAUUUGAUUGAUUAUUUAUAUGAUGCAGAAUUAAAGUUGAGAAAAUAUAUCCAGUUAGAAUUUUGCAGACAUUUCUUCUUAAACCACUGAUUUUCCUACUAUUGAAAAGGUCAGUGAUGCUUGGAUCCUGCAUCCUACAUGUGUAAUUCAUGGAUUCACAUCUGCUCUUUAUCCCUGAAAUUUUAUCUUGAAGCAGCUCUUUUGCAUUCACAUAGUGAAUGUAGUACUGUAACUUUUAAAUGUAUAUCCUUUAAGAUCUGUUUUAUGUUUUGGCAUUCUUCUCUUGAUCAUUUAUUUUUUUCCCUUUUCUCCUUGUUCAAUUUUCUAGAACUUCUAUUCAUAUGAAGUCCCUUGUAUUAUGAUCUAAUUUUCCCCUAUUUUCUAUUUUCUUAACCAUUUUCCUAUUGUUCUACAUUGUUUGAUAUUUCCUUCAUUUUGUCCCCCAGACUUGAUACUAGAUAUUUCCUUUUAUUGAUCAUAUUUAAUUUCUGCAGGCUCUUUCUUAUACUCUGACUUGCCAAUCUAAGGAUAUUAAUGAUCAUUUUCGGUUGUCUGUUCGCACUCCCUGAUUUGCCUCUAUUUUUCCUAAGUACCCUUCUAUUCAUGUUUCUCUUGUUCUCUUUUCUUUUAUACUAGAAGCUGUUCUCUGCUCUGCUUUGGCAAGAGUGAGACACAAUAAAGCUGGCUAGUUGCUGUAUGUUCAUAGAGAAGGCUGUAAAUGUGAUGCUUACUGUAAGGUGACUAGGUGACGGGGUUAGCGUCUGACCAUUGCACUGGGUCACUUCCUGCAGAUUGUUAUGCCUUGGUCAGCCAGAACAGACCCUCCCAGGCUCAUUGCUGAGGGUGGUAAAUCUGGGUGCUAGUUUCUGGACUUGAGCAGGGGCAAGGAGCUAGCUGAUGGUGAUGAAGAUGAGAGAUGUCUCCGUGUAGACUAUGUAGACUUUCAUUUGAUCUCCUUGUUGUGCUGUGAAUUCUCUACUUGCCUCUGUCAGACCCGUGCCUUGGUCCAUUUUCUGUUGCUCAGGUACCUGAGGCUGAGCAGAUUGUGAAGAACAGAAGUGUACUUUAGUUUCUCAGUUCUGGUGCCUGCUUAUACUCUGGUGAGGGCUCCAUGGUCCAUGGCAUCAUCACAGUGGUGGUGCAUGAAUGCAAGAAGAGGGCACCUGGCUGGACAGGAAGCCAGACACAAAAGUGCAGGGGCCAGACAUACUCAUUAUUCUAAUAAGAACAAACGUUCUGCCUCACUCUUUCCCAAAGGCAGCAUCCCCAAUGACCUACUUCCCGCGCAUGAGGACCCCUGUUAAAGCUUUUAUCACGCCCCUCAUCACCACAGUGUGCAGCAAAGUUAUUCAGCACAGGAACCCUUGUAAGACAAGCUACAUCCUUACUGUAGCAGCAGCCUGGGAACCAGGAAUUUAGACUGGUGACUCCUCUCUCCAAAGUAAUGCACCUUCAUUUCUUCACUCUGGGAAGGGUGUCAGCCACAUCUCUUCAUUCCACGGGACCUCAGGAUGCCUCUGAGGCCAAAGUCACCAAAGUGCUUAAGACAUUCUUCAGCUUAAACCACUUUGUGUGGAUAGUUGGCUUCCCUUCUACGGGAAUAUCUGACUUUCUUUAGCUGCUAGUUCAUUGACCACUUAGCCAUUUCAUUUUUUUUCUUCCAAAAUUCUGUUGACAUCACUUGAUUGCUGUUACCACCUCCCAUUUUUGUUCUUGAAUGUUUCCAUUAUUUUCAUUCCUUUCUUUCUGUUGUCCAGAGAGAUUGGAAAAAGCCAAGAUCAGUGUGGGCAUUCACUCUACUAGUGGCCCCUGGAAUAACUCAGCACUUUCCUGUUUGAAUAUUGAAUGUUAUCCAAUGUUAAAAUGUUUCUCUCACAGAAAAUUCCACAUUAUUUGUUUAUAAGACUUGGAACUUUAACACGGCAGAUUUCAAAAACCUAAAGUAUUAUGUUAACAUAAAGUAUACAAAGGUCAAAUGCAUGUAUUCAAAAGGACUGAAGUGUCAACAUGAUCAUCAUACUAUUUGAGAACAAGAACUUGUGAUUAAAGCCAUUGAUUCGUUUUCAGAAUUUUGAAAAUAUUGACUAACUUCAAGGACUAUAAAACAGUUUAGGUUCUAUGACCCUGACUAAGCCGAUCGUAUCUGGCAACUCAGGUACAAGGUAAAAUAUUGAUGGAACACUCAUCACUGAUGGAAUGCAAUCCCUCCCAGCCCAGGGAAAUCAGUGGGCAGAAGAACUCCAGAAGUCCAGAUAAUAAAUGAAAUGUCCCUGCUGAUAGGUAAAAUAAAUCAUUUCCAUGCGCAUCCUGGCCUGUGUGGAAAAUCCCGAUUGAUAUUUCACUGCAGUCUUACAAAUGCAAAGAUUGUAUUUCUAAGAGAAAAUAACCUAAGUGAAAAUGAAAAGUUUGAGGAAAGGAAUUAGUUUUCUAAUGGUAUUGGGGGAUAAAGGGAGGAUUUUAAUUGGAGCCCAAUGAGAAUUCUCUAAAAAGGAUCUGUGUGUGUAUGUGUGUGUGUCUUU